GAUGAACGCUGGCGGCGUGCCUAAAACAUGCAAGCGAGGCGAACAGAUGAGAAGCUUGCUCCUCUGAGGUUACCGGCGAACGGGUGAGAAACACGUGGAUAACCUACCUAUAAGACUGGGAAAACUUCGGGAACCCGGAGCUAAUACCGGAUAAUAUAUUGAACCGAAUGGUUCAUUGGUAAAGAACGGUUUUGCUGUAACUUAUAGAUGGAUCCCCGCCGCAUUAGCUAGUUGGUAAGGUAAGGGCUUACCAAGGCAACGAUGCGUAGCCGACCUUAGGGGGGGAUCCGCCAAACUUGAACUGAGACACGGUCCAGACUCCUACGGGAGGCAGCAGUAGGAAAUCUUCCGCAAUGGGCGAAAGCCUGACGGAGCAACGCCGCGUGAGUGAUGAAGGUCUUCGGAUCGUAAAACUCUGUUAUUAGGGAAGAACAAAUGUGUAAGUAACUAUGCACGUCUUGACGGUACCUAAUCAGAAAGCCACGGCUAACUACGUG
rnacentral:rRNA from 1 species